rnacentral:lncRNA from 1 species
CAUUAUGGUGAAAGGGUGGCAACUAAACAUAAGCUGAACACAGCCAUUUCUGAUGGUGAUGACUCAUGAUCCCUCACAGCUGCCCUGGACAUAGUGAUUUAAAGAAGUCUGGUGAGUGACAGCAGAGGGCGCUUGUAGGAGGUAAUAUAAAUGCCAAG